GGGGGGGAAAGCAGGAACGGGGUACUGAUUUUGGAUGAUCAGCCAUGAUCAUAUUGAAUGGCGGUGCUGGCUCGAAGGGCCGAAUGGCCUACUCCUGCACCUAUUUUCUAUGUUUCU